AGGAACCUUUAACAUAGUCCUGUGAGGCUAAAAGGUACGGAUACUUAACUGUUAGGUAUAGUCUAUCUAAACCCUUUUUUCCUCAUGGAGAAAAGGGUUUUUAUC
rfam:Ornithinibacillus halophilus strain IBRC-M 10683 genome assembly, contig: Ga0104432_1001